AAUCUUUUCGGUGUCGAACCAAUCUAUAUUUAAAAAAUUUGUAAGUAUGGAUUGGUCCAAUGUUUCCAAUUCGAACCACCCUAGAAAUAUGGCAUGGCAAACGUAUAUCUACAGCAUUGGAAUGCUCUAGAAUUCAUAAAAAAAUAAAAUAAAAUUACAAAAAAGAAAGAAAUAAAAAACAUACAACAUGGAACAACAGGCAAAAUUAAGAGAAAAAAUAUAUAUAAAAAAG
rnacentral:lncRNA from 1 species